CUAAGUAUUGAAAUUAUUUUACAAUGUAUAUAUUAUUACAUUUAUUGGAGGAAUUAAUUAGAAAGCAUGAAAUCCUCUCAUUGAUUUCUUUGAAACAAACAAAAUUGAAAUUAUCUUUAUUAAGAGGAAUUAUCUUUGGCAAAGUAAAUUUUCAUCAUCUUUCAGUGCGUCCAACACGCUCAAAGCAUUACGUUUUCUCGCAGUUUUGUAUUCCAACAUUGCUUCCCAUGAAUGUUUUGUUGCGGAAGUGUGAGAUCGAGCAAUUACCAAUAUUACGAUGACUAUAACUUUUGGAGAAAUAUAAAUGUGACAAACAAAUACAAAAAAAAUAUGACACAAUAAUUUACGUGGUUCGGCGUAAUGCCUUUGUCCAUGGGCAAAGACUGGGAGAUAAUUUUACUAAUAAUAAGAAUUUACAAAAGUAGGAAAAAUUCACAAAAUCCACAACCCCAAUACACCCAAAUAGAACCUCAUUAAAACACUCAAGUGGAAACUCUCUCAAAGAACUCACUUGCAAUUGCUCUCUACUUC
rnacentral:lncRNA from 1 species